rnacentral:rRNA from 1 species
CCUACGGGAGGCAGCAGUGAGGAAUAUUGGUCAAUGGACGAGAGUCUGAACCAGCCAAGUAGCGUGAAGGAUGACUGCCCUAUGGGUUGUAAACUUCUUUUAUAUGGGAAUAAAAUGUUCCACGUGUGGGAUUUUGUAUGUCCCAUAUGAAUAAGGAUCGGCUAACUCCGUGCCAGCAGCCGCGGUAAUACGGAGGAUCCGAUCGUUAUCCGGAUUUAUUGGGUUUAAAGGGAGCGUAGGUGGAUUGUUAAGUCAGUUGUGAAAGUUUGCGGCUCAACCGUAAAAUUGCAGUUGAAACUGGCAGUCUUGAGUACAGUAGAGGUGGGCGGAAUGCGUGGUGUAGCGGUGAAAUGCUUAGAUAUCACGAAGAACUCCGAUUGCGAAGGCAGUUCACUGGACUGCAACUGACACUGAGGCUCGAAAGUGUGGGUAUCAAACAGGAUUAGAUACCCUAGUAGUC